rnacentral:rRNA from 1 species
AUUGAACGCUGGCGGCAGGCUUAACACAUGCAAGUCGAGCGGGGAUGAGGUGCUUGCACCUUAUCUUAGCGGCGGACGGGUGAGUAAUGCUUAGGAAUCUGCCAUUUAGUGGGGGACAACAUUCCGAAAGGAAUGCUAAUACCGCAUACGUCCUACGGGAGAAAGCAGGGGAUCUCAGGACCUUGCGCUAAAUGAUGAGCCUGAGUCGGAUUAGCUAGUUGGUGGGGUAAAGGCCUACCAAGGCGACGAUCUGUAGCGGGUCUGAGAGGAUGAUCCGCCACACUGGGACUGAGACACGGCCCAGACUCCUACGGGAGGCAGCAGUGGGGAAUAUUGGACAAUGGGCGGAAGCCUGAUCCAGCCAUGCUGCGUGUGUGAAGAAGGCCUUUUGGUUGUAAAGCACUUUAAGCGAGGAGGAGGCUACCUAGAUUAAUACUCUAGGAUAGUGGACGUUACUCGCAGAAUAAGCACCGGCUAACUCUGUGCCAGCCGCCGCCGUAAGAC